UACAGAGGUCCCAAGCGUUGUUCGGAUUUAUUGGGCGUGAAGGGUGCGUAGGCGGCGGAGUAAGUUGGGUGUGAAAUCCCGGGGCUCAACCUCGGAAUGGCAUUCAAUACUGCUUCGCUAGAGUACUGGAGAGGAGGCUGGAAUUUACGGUGUAGCAGUGAAAUGCGUAGAUAUCGUAAGGAAGGCCGGUGGCGAAAGCGAGCCUCUGGACAGUUACUGACGCUGAUGCACGAAGGCCAGGGGAGCAAACGGG
rnacentral:rRNA from 1 species